CCUACCCCUAGAAUUGUUGCAGGUGUAGCUGCUGUGUCACAUGCAAUGGCAGAAAGGAGAGAGGCUAUGUCUAUACUCAGUUCUAAAAUAGUAGAGUGUGUUUAGCAUUCCCUGAAGAAAGCAAGCCUGAGAUG